AGAAGCGUCUGGUCACAGGGGCUGGGAGAGGGCAAGAGAUCCCCUCUCUGCCUCCGUGCCCCCUCCAUGCCAAAAGAAUGGCGUGAAUGAUGCUCUCACGUGACUGGAGGACGUCAACCUUUUUUUUUGCCCAUUUUAUCCAGAAUUGUUAAAUGAACUUCUCCCCCCACCCACCAUGCCCUCCCCAUCCUCCCCAGCACUGAAUGCCCUCAACUUUUGCCCUUCUCCCAUCUCCUGAGCUAUUUCCCUCGAGCUUUUCUUGCUCUUUUUGGUCUUGUGCGUGUGCGCGCGCGCCUGCAUGCAUGUGCGUGUGCAUGCAUGCGUGUGUAUGUGCGUGUUGUGUGUGUGUCUGAAAUCCUCAGAGCAAAAGAGGGAAAGAAACUGGACACGCGCUCGCCACUGCCCCAGCCUCGCAGAGACCCAGCUCCGAGCCCCGGCGGUGGAAGAGGAGGAGAAGGGAGCUCUUCCCAAGGACUUCAGGAAGAAAGGAGCGGAGGCGGAUCGGACGCUGCAAGAGCUGAACCAAAGCGAGGAAAUUAAGGAGAAGAAAAGAAACUACUUUAUUGUACCUCGGUGGAUCUUGAUGACAGCUUUGUCGGAAGGACUUUUUUGCGCCCCCCCCCAAAGAUGCUUUGAUUUUUGGACUCACUGGAUUCCAACGGAACUGUCUUGACGUGAAGAAAAAUAGAGACCCUUCUUCCCAAACAGCUUUAAGUGUUGCAAGAAUACAGCCCCCUUUCCAGAAAGCGCAGAGAUACUGGGGAGCGGGGUGGGGGGAAAUAAUUCGUACUUGAUUUCCCCUUUGAAAAAAAAAAAUACCCCCCCGGUCCCAGAUCCCUGGUAUCUAUAUGGAAAGCUGUUUCUCUUUAUAAAGACUUAAAAUGUUGCAAGACGGGUCUAAUACUGAGUGACAAGCGGUGGUGGAGAGAGAGAGGAACCAAAUGGAUUCUGGUUUUUAAAGGCCACUAGGAACUGGCCAGUCUUCAAUGUCAGGAUUCAAAAUUGAUUCCAUAUGUCUCGUCCAAAAAAAAAAAAAAAAAUCAAAGUUAAGCAAAACCUAGCGGAUUCCUUUCUUUCUGCCAUUUUUCCUUUUCUUUUCUUUUCUUUUUUUUGUGGGGUGUGUAGACGUGAUCCUAUAAAAUAUAUGUAUAUUGCAAUUAACAUGGCUGACUUUUGUGUCUAAUCACAGAGGUAAGAGGUGGAAAAGUUGCAGCAGCCCCAGACACAAGGCUGCACUUAGCAUCCAGUGAAUGGAGUUGCCCUGAAGUUGCAAACGGGGCAUAUGUAUGGGGAUGAGGAAAGGGGUGAAGUUUGCCAGAACGUGGGUCGGCAGGAAAAACAGGGGAAACUCUCCUGAAUGCGGGGUGAAUGGGAGAAUUGUUUUGGGGGAGAUUGCCAUUGACUGCCAUAGGCGGUGCGGCUGCUUUUGGGUAGCACUGAAAGUGGACGUGUUGCGGGGAUGGAUGGACGUGUUGCGGGGAUGGAGGAGGGCAAAGAAGCCGGGUUGAUUUUCACCAAAUAACAGACCUCGGGCUAUUUCACCUUCCAUCACCUCCUUCGGGGCUUAAAGGGGGACGCUGGACACCCCCAAAGAUGCCAUGGUGGAAAUCUGGAGAAACCUGCCCCUAAGCACUUAGUGUUCUCUCUGACCUCGCAGUGCCUUUGCCCAUAGCACGCAGGCAGAUUUUUGUUUGAACUUAACUUAAAAAAAAUAAAGAUGAAAUAUUAUGGAGUGAGAAUCCUUCCCCCCACCCUUUCCCCUUUACAGCUAUCUUGUGGGGUGGGAGAACAACAACCCAACCUGAACAUCGCUUCUGAUUUAUGGCUUUGCUUUUCUGAAAUAGCUUCUGAUUUGGUCGGUGGCAAUCGAGUGUUGAAAUGUGGUUUUACACCCGUCUCCCCUCCCCCCAACAAAUAAACUUCAAAGGAGACGUCAUUCUUUCCAACUUUGGCCUAUUUCACAGAAAAGCAACAAGCACUCCUUUCCUUUUGUCCUGGCUGGAAAAGAAAAGGUGGGGGGGGAAGCUCCUUUCUUUCUGCAGCAGUAGAUCUGCCUCGGCUCCCGCUAUAGUCUUUUGCAGUCCUGAAGGCCUCUAUAGCAGUGAUUUGUUUGGGGAGUGAAUUUGUUCUGCCUGUGUUUCCCCGAUGAGAUUUGUUAAAAUAACGGAACCAAUGUAAUGCGGUUUUUCUGUGCAAACGUUAAUUCCUUUCCCAAACUACGGCCAUGUAUUUCUAACGAGGUUAUGAUUUCGCUCCCUUUGAAAUAUAUAUACACAGGUGUGUGCGUGUGUGUAUAGAUACAUAUGUAAGUAUACACGUAUACAUGUAUACGCAUGUGUAUAAUCCGUCGGAAUAAAGGCAGUAUCUCU